AUGUUGGAGUGGAAAAAAGGAAAUCCUGUGGCAUAUUAUUUAUUUCUUUUGUUUUGAAAUAUAUGUUAUCCUUUGUGUAUGGUGUGAAACAAUGGGCCAAAAGUUUGAUAUUAAGGGUUGGAAUUAGGUGUGGGGGCAGUAGCGCACUCAAGCUUCUCCUGUUGUUUUGUUUUCUGAUUUUUAAAUGUUUUUUGGCCUAUUUGCUAUUUGGAAACUAUCUCUGCUCUUUAAUUUUUUUUGAAAGCAAAGUUAACAUCCUUUCCUCAGGUGGAUUGUGCUUUGCUCAUUUCUUGUUUGGUAUUUUUUGUCUUUCCAGUUUUACUGGGUCAGUGUUCUCAGGAUAUACUUUUUUCAAGUCUGCGGUUGUUCAUCUGCGGUUUGGAGGAAGGUCUCUAUGUUCUAUUCUUACAAGGCCCUUUUUGUGUUUUCUUAUCUUCUCUUGGUUUCUUUUUGCAUAAUUCUUUCGUUUUUAUUAUCUGUUUGGAGGUCAAGUGGAGAGCAAAUCUUGAGUGCCCUUUUUACUAAGGUUCUUCGUCUAAGGUCAGGAGAGGAUCUCUGUGUGUUUUUUUUAAAUUUUUUUUCAACUCUUUGCUUGUGUGCGCUUUUUUCUCUACAGUUUUGGGCCUUAUUUUAUGUUCUCUCUGAUCUAGUAUUCUUUGUAGUGGUUGCCAUGUGCUUGUUUUGUCUAGAGAAGUUGAAAAUAGGGGAUUGACCGAGCUGAGUAAAUAGGACUGCAGGAGAUGAGAUGAUUUGUUUCUUUCUCUUCAUAUGGUUCGAGCUUCAGUUUGGAGGAAGCCUGACGGAUAUUUUUGCCAGGCUGCUCAUAUGCGGUUUGGGGGAAGUAUUCUCUGUUGUGGUUUCCAUGUGCUUGUUUUGUCUGGAGAAGUUGAACAUUGGGGAUUUACCGAGCUGAGUAAAUAGUACUGCAGGAAAUGAGAUUAUAUGUUUAUUUCACUUCAUAUGGUUUGUGCUUCAGUCUAGAGGAAACGUGACAGUUCUUUUUGCAAGGUUGUUCAUCUGCGGUUUGGACGAAGGUCUCUAUGUUCUAUUCUUAUCUUCUCUUGGGUUCUUUUUGCCUAAUUCUUUCAUUUUUUAUUAUCUAUUUGGAGGUCAAGUGGAGAGCAAAUUUUGAGUGUUUUUUUAACUAAGGUUCCCCGUCUAUGGUCGGGGGACGAUCUCUGUGUGUCUGUUUUUUGUUUAAUUUUUUUUUUUUCAACUCUUUGCUUGUGUGUGCUUUUUUCUCUUCAGUUUUGGGCCUUAUUUUAUGUUCUCUCUGAUCUAGUAUUCUCUGUAGUAGUUGCCAUCUGCUUGUUUUGUCUGGAGAAGAAAAUAGGGGAUUGACUGAGCUGAGUAAAUAGGACUGCAGGAGAUGAGAUGAUAUGUUUCCUUCUAUUCAUAUGAUUCGAGCUUCAAUCUAGAGCAAAUAUGAUGAUUCUCUUUGCAAAGGUUUUCAUCUGCUGUAAUGAAGGGUAAAUGCAGGUAAUAGUUAUUACUGUGCUUUAUUGAUACUUUCAUUAAAUCGAAUACGAUUAUUACUGACAGAAAAGAUUGUCUACAAUCAAUGUCCGCAAAAAUUUGUUCCAGAGUUGGAGUUUCUUAUUAUGAUUUCAGCAUCCGCCAACUUCAUCUGCUUGAAGUUUGAGAAGGUGGUAGUGCAGAAUUCCCCUUGAUUGAUAUAUGGAUGAAUUUUAAGUUGCUUUGUUAGGAAUGGAUUCUAUUUCUUUCAGUCCCAAAUCAGAUACAUAUGCUGUAGUUUGAUCUACAUAUGUUAAGUCUCUGUUUAUUGUGUCCAA